UACGUAGGGGGCAAGCGUUGUCCGGAUUUAUUGGGCGUAAAGAGCGUGUAGGCGGCUUUGCAAGUCCGUUGUGAAGACUCGAGGCUCAACCUCGAGACGCCGGUGGAAACUGCAAAGCUAGAGUCCGGAAGAGGAGAGUGGAAUUCCUGGUGUAGCGGUGAAAUGCGCAGAUAUCAGGAAGAACACCCGUGGCGAAGGCGGCUCUCUGGGACGGUACUGACGCUGAGACGCGAAAGCGUGGGGAGCGAACAGG
rnacentral:rRNA from 1 species